UUGGAGGGCAAGUCUGGUGCCAGCAGCCGCGGUAAUUCCAGCUCCAAUAGCGUAUAUUAAAGUUGUUGCAGUUAAAAAGCUCGUAGUUGAAUUUCGGGAUCAAUAUGUUGGUCGUGCCUUGGUACGUACUAUCUUAUUGGUUUCUCCCUUCUGACGAACCAUGAUGUCAUUAAUUUGGUGUCAUGGGGAAUCAGGAUUGUUACUUUGAAAAAAUUAGAGUGUUUAAAGCAGGCUCACGCUUGAAUAUAUUAGCAUGGAAUAACGGAAUAGGACGUUUGAUUCUAUUUUGUUGGUUUCUAGAAUCGACGUAAUGAUUAAUAGGGAUAGUUGGGGGCAUUAGUAUUCAAUUGUCAGAGGUGAAAUUCUUGGAUUUAUUGAAGACUAACUACUGCGAAAGCAUUUGCCAAGGAUGUUUUCAUUAAUCAAGAACGAAAGUUAGGGGAUCGAAGACGAUCAGAUACCGUCGUAGUCCUAACCAUAAACUAUGCCGACUAGGGAUCGGAUGAUGUUAUUUUUAAUGACUCAUUCGGCGCCUUACAGGAAACCAAAGUGUUUGGGUUC
rnacentral:rRNA from 1 species